AGAUGACGACCGGCGCACGGGUGCGUAACGCGUAUAGAACCUACCUUUUACAGAGGAAUAGCCUUUAGAAAUGAAGAUUAAUGCCUCAUAGUAUUGUAGACUGGCAUCAGUUUAUAAUUAAAGAUUUAUCGGUAAAAGAUGGCUAUGCGUCCUAUUAGUUAGUUGGUAAGGUAACGGCUUACCAAGACAGCGAUAGGUAGGGGUCCUGAGAGGGAGAUCCCCCACACUGGUACUGAGACACGGACCAGACUCCUACGGGAGGCAGCAGUGAGGAAUAUUGGACAAUGGAGGAGACUCUGAUCCAGCCAUGCCGCGUGUAGGAAGAAUGCCCUAUGGGUUGUAAACUACUUUUAUACAGGAAGAAACACUGGUAUGUAUACCAGCUUGACGGUACUGUAAGAAUAAGGACCGG
rnacentral:rRNA from 1 species